GAAAAGAAACCAACCGGGAUUGCCUUAGUAACGGCGAGUGAAGCGGCAAAAGCUCAAAUUUGAAAUCUGGUACCUUCGGUGCCCGAGUUGUAAUUUGUAGAAGGUAACUUUGGGGCUGGUCCUUGUCUAUGUUCCUUGGAACAGGACGUCAUAGAGGGUGAGAAUCCCGUGUGGCGAGGAUCCCAGUUCUUUGUAAAGUGCUUUCGAAGAGUCGAGUUGUUUGGGAAUGCAGCUCUAAGUGGGUGGUAAAUUCCAUCUAAAGCUAAAUAUUGGCGAGAGACCGAUAGCGAACAAGUACAGUGAUGGAAAGAUGAAAAGAACUUUGAAAAGAGAGUGAAAAAGUACGUGAAAUUGUUGAAAGGGAAGGGCAUUUGAUCAGACAUGGUGUUUUGCGCCCUCUGCUCCUUGUGGGUGGGGGAAUCUCGCAGCUCACUGGGCCAGCAUCGGUUUUGGCGGCAGGAUAAAUCUUCAGGAAUGUAGCUUGCCUCGGUAAGUGUUAUAUCCUGGAGGAAUACUGCCAGCUGGGACUGAGGACUGCGACUUUACGUCAAGGAUGCUGGCAUAAUGGUUAUAUGCCGCCC
rnacentral:rRNA from 2 species